rnacentral:rRNA from 1 species
AUUGAACGCUGGCGGCAUGCUUUACACAUGCAAGUCGAACGGUAACAGGCCUUCGGGUGCUGACGAGUGGCGAACGGGUGAGUAAUGCAUCGGAACGUACCCAGAGGUGGGGGAUAACGCAGCGAAAGCUGUGCUAAUACUGCAAGUGAUCUGAGGAUGAAAGCGGGGGACCGAGCAGCAAUGUUUGGCCUCGCGCCUUUGGAGCGGCCGAUGUCGGAUUAGCUAGUUGGUGGGGUAAAGGCCUACCAAGGCGACGAUCCGUAGCUGGUCUGAGAGGACGACGAGCCACACUGGGAUUGAGACACGGCCCACACUCCUACGGGAGGCAGCAGUGGGGAAUUUUGGACAAUGGGCGCAAGCCUGAUCCAGCAAUGCCGCGUGCGGGAAGAAGGCCUUCGGGUUGUAAACCGCUUUUGGCAGGAACGAAACGGUGUCCGCUAAUACCGGGCGCUAAUGACGGUACCUUCAGAAUAAGCACCGGCUAACUACGUG